CCAUAUAAGUAGGGAAGUCCAGGCCCCUGGCUGUCAAGAAAAGCCGCUAUUGUUUUAUAUGUGCCCGUACCGCAAACCGACACAGGUGGAUGAGGAGAGAAUCCUAAGGCCGACGGGAGAAGUAUUGUUAAGGAACUCGGCAAAAUGACUCCGUAACUUCGGGAGAAGGAGUGCCAUGAGAGUGGCCGCAGAGAAAUGGCCCAAGCAACUGUUUAGCAAAAACACAGGUCUAUGCAAAACCGCAAGGUGAAGUAUAUGGGCUGACGCCUGCCCGGUGCUGGAAGGUUAAGGGGAGAGGUUAGCGCAAGCGAAGCUUUGAACUUAAGCCCCAGUAAACGGCGGCCGUAACAAUAACGGUCCUAAGGUAGCGAAAUUCCUUGUCGGGUAAGUUCCGACCCGCACGAAAGGCGUAAUGAUUUGGGCACUGUCUCAACGAUACACCCGGUGAAAUUGAAAUACCAGUGAAGAUGCUGGUUACCUGCGCCAGGACGGAAAGACCCCAUGGAGCUUUACUCCAGUUUGAUACUGGGAUUCGGCAUGGUAUGUACAGGAUAGGUGGGAGACUGAGAAGGUAUGACGUCAGUUGUACCGGAAUCGCUGUUGGGAUACCACCCUUACCAUGUUGGAUUUCUAACCUGUGGCCGUAAGCCGGUCAGGGGACAAUGUCAGGCGGGGAGUUUGACUGGGGCGGUCGCCUCCGAAAGGGUAUCGGAGGCGCUCAAAGGUUCCCUCAGAAUGGUUGGAAACCAUUCGAAGAGUGCAAAGGCAGAAGGGAGCUUGACUGUGACACCGACGGGUGGAGCAGGUACGAAAGUAGGACUUAGUGAUCCGGUGGUAUAAAGUGGGAUUGCCAUCGCUCAACGGAUAAAAGCUACCCUGGGGAUAACAGGCUUAUCACUCCCAAGAGUUCACAUCGACGGAGUGGUUUGGCACCUCGAUGUCGGCUCAUCGCAUCCUGGAGCUGUAGCAGGUUCCAAGGGUUGGGCUGUUCGCCCAUUAAAGCGGUACGCGAGCUGGGUUCAGAACGUCGUGAGACAGUUCGGUCCCUAUCCGGCGCAGGCGGAGGAAAUUUGAUAGGAGCUGUCCUUAGUACGAGAGGACCGGGAUGGACGGACCGCUGGUGUAUCUGUUGUACUGCCAAGUGCAUAGCAGAGUAGCCAAGUCUGGAAGGGAUAAACGCUGAAGGCAUCUAAGCGUGAAGCCCCCCUAAAGAUAAGAUUUCCCAUACCAUAAGGUAGUAAGACCCCUUGAAGACGACGAGGUAGAUAGGGCAGAGGUGGAAGUACGGUAACGUAUGGAGCUGACUGUUACUAAUCGGUCGAGGCUUU
rnacentral:rRNA from 1 species